ACAUGUCCGGAACUUGCCAGAGAUGGCUUGGUGCCGAAGGGAAGUCGGAACACAGGUGCUGCAUGGCUGUCGUCAGCUCGUGUCGUGAGAUGUUGGGUUAAGUCCCGCAACGAGCGCAACCCUUAUCAUUAGUUGCUACGCAAGGGCACUCUAAUGAGACUGCCGGUGACAAACCGGAGGAAGUGGGGAUGACGUCAAGUCCUCAUGGCCCUUAUGGGUAGGGCUUCACACGUCAUACAAUGGUCGGUACAGAGGGUUGCCAAGCCGCGAGGCGGAGCCAAUCCCACAAAGCCGAUCGUAGUCCGGAUUGUUCUCUGCAACUCGAGAGCAUGAAGUCGGAAUCGCUAGUAAUCGCAGGUCAGCAUACUGCGGUGAAUACGUUCCCGGGUCUU
rnacentral:rRNA from 1 species